GAAUCUUGCACAAUGGGGGAAACCCUGAUGCAGCGACGCCGCGUGAGCGAUGAAGCCCUUCGGGGUGUAAAGCUCUUUCGGCAGGGACGAAAGUGACGGUACCUGCAGAAGCAGCUGCGGCUAACUACGUGCCAGCAGCCGCGGUAAUACGUAGGGUGCGAGCGUUAAUCGGAAUUACUGGGCGUAAAGGGUGCGCAGGCGGUCUUGCAAGUCAGCUGUGAAAGCCCCGGGCUUAACCUGGGAAUUGCGUUUGAAACUACAAGACUAGAGUGCAGCAUAGGGGGGUGGAAUUCCAUGUGUAGCAGUGAAAUGCGUAGAGAUGUGGAAGAACACCGAGGGCGAAGGCAUCUCCCUGGGUUGACACUGAC
rnacentral:rRNA from 1 species